UACGAAGGGACUAGCGUUGUUCGGAAUUACUGGGCGUAAAGCGCACGUAGGCGGACAUUUAAGUCAGGGGUGAAAUCCCGGGGCUCAACCCCGGAACUGCCUUUGAUACUGGGUGUCUUGAGUUCGGAAGAGGUGAGUGGAAUUGCGAGUGUAGAGGUGAAAUUCGUAGAUAUUCGCAGGAACACCAGUGGCGAAGGCGGCUCACUGGUCCGAUACUGACGCUGAGGUGCGAAAGCGUGGGGAGCGAACGAGGAUU
rnacentral:rRNA from 1 species